rnacentral:sRNA from 1 species
GCAUCUUGGUCUUAUAACUUUGGUUAAUUCAAUGAUUUGGUUAUUAAGUUGAUUUUUAAGGAGUAAUCACUAUUUAGAUGGCUGACUUUAGAUCAUGUUGGUGUUUGUCUUAGUACAUUUAAAAUGAGUAGUCAAAAAUAGUUACUAUCAGAUUUUGUAAUCUUGACAACAACAAAUGUAAUCACCAUUAUCCAUUGUAAUAUUAUGAAUCUGAAACCAGCUCCUGUACCUAGCUCCUGGAAGGUGAGAAGAGGCCCAGAAGUGGCAGGGCAGGCAGGUAACACCUCUUGAUUUCCAUACCCUGUUGUAGUCACUUUUCCAGGUUAACCCAUCACCAUGUGAGGUCUGUAGAGCUGCUUCCAGAGACUGGCAUGGGGGCUCCUCACACUUAUUCUAAGCUCUAAGGAAAUUAUGAGCUUGUCCACAUAACAUGCAGGCCUCCUAUUUGAGAUGAGCCAAAUAGGGGUGUAGUGGCCAAAGCCGGGGUGGAUGAGGGCCUGGAGUUUGGGGCCACAGAGUGGAUAUGAAAAUAGCAGCAUGGAAGAACAGCUGAACAGUUGUUCUACUUGAUAUGCAUUUGUGAUGUGCCACAUUUUCUCCUAUCAGGUUACCUGGACCCAUGGUUGUGUCACAGUUGCUUUUAUACAUGUACUGUCUUUACACAGAAAAUUAUGCAUGAUGCCAUUGGAUUCAGAAGUACAUUAACUGGCAAGAACUACACAAUGGAAUGGUAUGAACUUUUCCAACUUGGCAACUGUACAUUUCCCCAUCUCCGACCUGAAAUGGAUGCCCCUUUCUGGUGUAAUCAAGGCGCUGCCUGCUUUUUUGAGGGAAUCGAUGAUGUUCACUGGAAGGAAAAUGGGACAUUAGUUCAAGUAGCAACUAUAUCAGGAAACAUGUUCAACCAAAUGGCAAAGUGGGUGAAACAGGACAAUGAAACAGGAAUUUAUUACGAGACAUGGAAUGUAAAAGCCAGCCCAGAAAAGGGGGCAGAGACAUGGUUUGAUUCCUACGACUGUUCCAAAUUUGUGUUAAGGACCUUUAACAAGUUGGCUGAAUUUGGAGCAGAGUUCAAGAACAUAGAAACCAACUAUACAAGAAUAUUUCUUUACAGUGGAGAACCUACUUAUCUGGGAAAUGAAACAUCUGUUUUUGGGCCAACAGGAAACAAGACUCUUGGUUUAGCCAUAAAAAGAUUUUAUUACCCCUUCAAACCACAUUUGCCAACUAAAGAAUUUCUGUUGAGUCUCUUGCAAAUUUUUGAUGCAGUGAUUGUGCACAGACAGUUCUAUUUGUUUUAUAAUUUUGAAUAUUGGUUUUUACCUAUGAAAUUCCCUUUUAUUAAAAUAACAUAUGAAGAAAUCCCUUUACCUAACAGAAACAAAACACUCUCUGGUUUAUAAAACACCUUAAUUCUACUGCUCUUUUUUCUCCAAUCACCAGCAUCUGUUUUUCAGGGGGUGAUUUUACUUUUGUGAAUUCCUUAGCCUUUCUUCCUUGGUGCAUAAAGUUAAAAUGCACAUCAGCAGAAUUGCUGCAUAUUAACAUCUCAGGACUUUUCUCUUGUAAAGAAGCUGAAAUUCGUACUAUAUUGGCCAAAGUGAGCGAGUUAGGUGAUCUUGGUUUCAAUUUUCGAGCCUUUGUUAAUAUGGAGAAUUAUGGUUCAUAUCAGUUAUGUAGGACCUUUGGACCCAAGGUCCUACAGAUAGAUAUGGUGUGCCCAGAUUUUAAAAAUACCUUCAAAAAUAAAAAAUACCUUCAGUGACAUUUUCAUGGUGGGAGCUCUUCUUUCUGGUAUGGCAGUUACACUUUUUCACUUAAGUGCUUUAGUUUAGACUAACUUUACAACUUUUAUAACUUUUGGAACCAAGUUUAGUAUAGUCUGAUUACAUUCCAUUCACCUAACUUUAGACAUUAGUUUAGACACCAUAACUGGAGUGAUUGUGCUUCUAGAUGUGGCAAAUCCAGUGUUAACACAUAUUUCUGGCUGAGAUUUUGGAACUAGCUAGUAACUGGCUUGUGUUCUUUAAGCAACCUAACAUCACUAAAUCUUAGGAUUUAGGAUUGCUGUAAAGAUGUAAGUUGUGUAUGUUUGGCAGGUCACAUUGAAUGGCAGUGAUAAUGAUUAAUCAAAGAACAAAUGUCAUCCUUGAUCUUGCCUAAUGUAGUUUAUGUGCCAAACUUUCCAGGGUUUUGUAGUCACCUAGAUUUUAAGCUGAUAGCAUAGUGCUUCAGCGGUUCUUCCAACCGGGGUAUGCAGGAACAUGGCUGCAGACACGUUUGGGUAAACAGGCACCUUCUGACUUCUUCACUGUUUCCUGUAGUUCUCCCUCUUCCCACAAAGCUGUCAGCGCAGUGGAAGAGGUUGCGCUUCUCCGAGAGAGGACAGGUUUCUGUUAAGAUCACCAAGUAGCUGUGCUUUAAUUAGAGCCAGACAAGCUUUCAAGGUCCUUUAAGUAUUUGAUGAUCAACUGAACACGUUUCUAUUCAAGGAGAAAACACCAUUCAGUAAGAAGAUGGAGUAGAUAUCAGAUAAAACAAUUCACGUUUAAUAUGUAAAUGUACCAAUUAUGUGAUUCGGUUUCAACUAACAUUCAAGUACUUCCUGAGAGGUUAGUACAUUAUUAUUGAGCUCUCACAGAAAGCUUAAUCAUAGAUAUAAUUAACCUGAUCCAAAUGAGUAAACUGGACCUUAGAAAGGCUAAGUGAUCUUUCUCUGGCUAUCCAGCUAGUAGUAAUGAAGUCAGGUCUUGAACCCCGGUUCUGCUGACUGAAUUGGAUGCACUAUAGUACAGGCUUUUAGCACCGAAGUGUGGUCCUCAGACCAGUGCCUGCCAACCAGAUGUUACUGGUCUGUGAGGAAAUAA